rnacentral:ncRNA from 1 species
UUAUAUAUUUCUAUAUAAGGUGGACUAUAUCUUAAAAAGCUAUGAAAAGCUUUCCAUCUCCAUAUAGUCUCUGGACUUCAUUUAUUGUUAAAAAUAUACUUAGCUCAGUGUUUGUUCAAAUAAUUAAAUUUUAACUAGAUAAUAGUAUUAAUUAUUUCAGAAUUUUACCUGAAUUUGAAGAUGUCGCUAUCCGUUAAGAUAACUAAUGAUUAUUAAAUCAUUUUCAUACCCAACCUAGUUUAGGUAUAUAU